rnacentral:rRNA from 1 species
GACGAACGCUGGCGGCGUGCUUAACACAUGCAAGUCGAACGGUGAAGCGCCUUCCUUUUUGGUGGGUGUGGAUGAGUGGCGAACGGGUGAGUAACACGUGAGUAACCUGCCCCCUUCUUCUGGAUAACCGCAUGAAAGUGUGGCUAAUACGGGAUAUUCUGGGUCUGUCGCAUGAUGGGUCUGGGAAAGAUAUUGUUUCGGUGGGGGAUGGGCUCGCGGCCUAUCAGCUUGUUGGUGGGGUGAUGGCCUACCAAGGCGGUGACGGGUAGCCGGCCUGAGAGGGUGGACGGUCACACUGGGACUGAGACACGGCCCAGACUCCUACGGGAGGCAGCAGUGGGGAAUAUUGCACAAUGGGCGCAAGCCUGAUGCAGCGACGCCGCGUGAGGGAUGGAGGCCUUCGGGUUGUGAACCUCUUUCGCCAGUGAAGCAGGCCUGCCUGGUUUGUGGGUGGGUUGACGGUAGCUGGAGAAGAAGCGCCGGCUAACUACGUG